ACUCCCAAACCCCUGUGAACAUACCACUUGUUGCCUCGGCGGAUCAGCCCGCUCCCGGUAAAACGGGACGGCCCGCCAGAGGACCCCUAAACUCUGUUUCUAUAUGUAACUUCUGAGUAAAACCAUAAAUAAAUCAAAACUUUCAACAACGGAUCUCUUGGUUCUGGCAUCGAUGAAGAACGCAGCAAAAUGCGAUAAGUAAUGUGAAUUGCAGAAUUCAGUGAAUCAUCGAAUCUUUGAACGCACAUUGCGCCCGCCAGUAUUCUGGCGGGCAUGCCUGUUCGAGCGUCAUUUCAACCCUCAAGCACAGCUUGGUGUUGGGACUCGCGUUAAUUCGCGUUCCUCAAAUUGAUUGGCGGUCACGUCGAGCUUCCAUAGCGUAGUAGUAAAACCCUCGUUACUGGUAAUCGUCGCGGCCACGCCGUUAAACCCCAACUUCUGAAUGUUGACCUCGGAUCAGGUAGGAAUACCCGCUGAACUUAAGCAUAUCAAUAAGCGGAG
rnacentral:rRNA from 1 species